AUUGAACGCUGGCGGCAGGCCUAACACAUGCAAGUCGAACGAGUGGCGGACGGGUGAGUAAUGUCUGGGAACUGCCUGAUGGAGGGGGAUAACUACUCGAAACGGUAGCUAAUACCGCAUACUAUCGGAUAACCCAUAUGGGAUUAGCUAGUAGGUGAGGUAAUGGCUCACCUAGGCGACGAUCCCUAGCUGGUCUGAGAGGAUGAUCAGCCACACUGGGACUGAGACACGGCCCAGACUCCUACGGAGGCAGCAGUGGGGAAUAUUGCACAAUGGGCGCAAGCCUGAUGCAGCCAUGCCGCGUGUAUGAAGAAGGCCCUAGGGUUGUAAAGUACUUUCAGUCGGGAGGCGUUACCGACAGAAGAAGCACCGGCUAACUCCGUGCCAGCCGCCGCGGUAAUUC
rnacentral:rRNA from 1 species